UGGCUCAGGAUGAACGCUAGCGACAGGCUUAACACAUGCAAGUCGAGGGGCAGCGGGGGUGAUGGCUUGCCAUCACCUGCCGGCGACCGGCGCACGGGUGAGUAACACGUAUGCAACCUGCCCGCCACGGGGGGAUAAGCGGAAGAAAUUCCGUCUAAUACCGCGUGACGCGGCGCCGGGGCAUCCCGGUGCCGCCAAAGGGAUUACCGGUGGCGGAUGGGCAUGCGGCGCAUUAGCUAGUCGGCGGGGUAACGGCCCACCGAGGCGACGAUGCGUAGGGGUUCUGAGAGGAAGGUCCCCCACACUGGUACUGAGACACGGACCAGACUCCUACGGGAGGCAGCAGUGAGGAAUAUUGGUCAAUGGGCGCGAGCCUGAACCAGCCAAGUCGCGUGAGGGAUGACGGUCCUACGGAUUGUAAACCUCUUUUGCCGGGGAGCAAGCGUGCGUUCGUGAACGCGCGUCGAGAGUACCCGGAGAAAAAGCAUCGGCUAACUCCGUGCCAGCAGCCGCGGUAAUACGGAGGAUGCGAGCGUUAUCCGGAUUUAUUGGGUUUAAAGGGUGCGUAGGCGGGAUGCCAAGUCAGCGGUAAAAAUGCGGUGCUCAACGCCGUCGAGCCGUUGAAACUGGCGUUCUUGAGUGGGCGAGAAGUAUGCGGAAUGCGUGGUGUAGCGGUGAAAUGCAUAGAUAUCACGCAGAACUCCGAUUGCGAAGGCAGCAUACCGGCGCCCUACUGACGCUGAGGCACGAAAGCGUGGGUAUCGAACAGGAUUAGAUACCCUGGUAGUCCACGCAGUAAACGAUGAAUGCUAACUGCCCGGCUCGAAUGAGCGCUGGGCGGUACAGCGAAAGCGUUAAGCAUUCCACCUGGGGAGUACGCCGGCAACGGUGAAACUCAAAGGAAUUGACGGGGGCCCGCACAAGCGGAGGAACAUGUGGUUUAAUUCGAUGAUACGCGAGGAACCUUACCCGGGCUCAAACGCAGGAUGACGGGUCCCGAAAGGGGUCUUUCUUCGGACAUUCUGCGAGGUGCUGCAUGGUUGUCGUCAGCUCGUGCCGUGAGGUGUCGGCUUAAGUGCCAUAACGAGCGCAACCCCUGUCCACAGUUGCCAGCAGGUAAAGCUGGGGACUCUGUGGAGACUGCCGGCGCAAGCUGCGAGGAAGGCGGGGAUGACGUCAAAUCAGCGCGGCCCUUACGUCCGGGGCGACACACGUGUUACAAUGGCAGGUACAGCGGGAUGCCACGGGGCGACCCGGCGCUGAACCCGAAAACCUGUCUCAGUUCGGAUUGGAGUCUGCAACCCGACUCCAUGAAGCUGGAUUCGCUAGUAAUCGCGCAUCAGCCACGGCGCGGUGAAUACGUUCCCGGGCCUUGUACACACCGCCCGUCAAGCCAUGGAAGCCGGGGGUACCUGGGUGCGUGACCGCGAGGAGCGCCCUAGGGUAAAACUCGGUGACUGGGGCUAAGUCGUAACAAGGUAGCCGU
rnacentral:rRNA from 1 species